rnacentral:lncRNA from 1 species
CAAUCAUGGCGGAAGGCAAAGGAGGAGCAAAGGCACACCUUACAUAGUGGCAGGCAAGAGAGCAUGUGUAGGGAAAUUGCCUUUUAAAAAACCAUCAGCUCUCGUGAGACUUAUUCACUAUCAUGAGAACAGCAUGGGAAAAACCCUCCCCCAUGAUUCAAUUACUUCCCACCAGAUCCCUCCCAUGACACGUGGGGAUUAUGGGAGCUACAAUUCAAGAUGAGAUUUGGGUGGGGACACAGCCAAAUCAUAUCAAGGCCCUUUCUGGACUGGGUUAGAAGGCUGGGAGAGGUGCCAGCCUCUGGUGUUCCUCUGUAGAGUAAAGCCAAGGAUUCCAUCUUCUCCCUAGGAUGAUGUCCAUUAUCUGAUAACCUAUCAAGGUGAUCUCCGGCUGCAGUCUCUCCUCUGGAGGAGAUGGGUAGAAGAAAUGCUUGAAGUUCUGGGGAUCUGGGGGCUGGGUUGCAACAGAGCUGUUGAGAAGGUAACUAGGAACAGGAGCUGUCCAUUAGAUUUUGGUUGAACCACUAUGGAAAACAGUGUGGACAUUUCUUAAAGAACUAAAAGUAGAACUACAAUUUGAUCCAACAAUCUUACUACUGGGUAUCUACCCAGAAGAAAAGAAGUCAUUAUAUGAAAAAGAUACUUGCACACAUGUUUAUAGCAGCACAAUUCAUAAUUGCAAAAACAUGGAACCAACCCAAAUGCCCAUCAAUCAACAAGUGGAUAAAGAACCUGUGGUAUAUAUAUACAAUGGAAUACUACUCAGCCAUAAAAAGGAAUGAGUUAAUGGCAUUUGCAGUGACCUGGAUGGGAUUGGAGACUAUUAUUCUAAGUGAAGCCACUCAGGAAUGGAAAAAUGUUCUCACUCAUAAGUGUGAGAUAAGCUAUGAGAAUACAAAGGCAUAAGAAUGACACAUGGG